rnacentral:tRNA from 2 species
GGAGAAGUAUCGAAGUGGUCAUAACGAGCCGCACUCGAAAUGCGGUUGCCUGCAAGGGCACGUGGGUUCGAAUCCCACCUUCUCCGCCA